CAAAACGGGCAUCAAGUAGUAUACCGAAGCUAUGGGUAAUAUUAAUAUUACGGUAGGGGAGCAUUCCAGCGGCAGCGAAGAUAUGACGUAAGUUGUGUUGGAGCUUCUGGAAAAGCAAAUGUAGGCAUAAGUAACGAUAAGGCAGGCGAGAAACCUGCCCGCCGAAAGGAUAAGGUUUCCUGAUCAACGCUAAUCGGAUCAGGGUUAGUCGGGGCCUAAGGAGAACCCGAAGGGGAAAUUCGAUGGACAACUGGUUAAUAUUCCAGUACUUUUUAUAACUGCGAUGUGGGGACGGAGUAGUGACACUGCCGCGAUCUGACGGAAUAGAUCGUUAAAGACUGUAGGUAUUGGGAAGGUAGGCAAAUCCGCCAUCCUAGCUGAACGUCGAUAGUACCGCGAAGCUUCGGCCAAGUGGAUAGCGCAGGUAAUCAGACUUCCAAGAAAAACCGCUAAGCUUCAGGUUAUAAAAACCCGUACCGCAAACCGACACAGGUAUCCGGGAAGAGAAUUCUAAGGCGCUCGAGUGAAUCAUGGCUAAGGAACUCGGCAAAAUGGCCCUGUAACUUCGGGAGAAGGGGCGCUGACAGCAAUGUCAGCCGCAGUGAAAAGGCCCAGGCGACUGUUUAACAAAAACACAUGGCUUUGCAAAAUCGAAAGAUGAAGUAUAAGGCCUGACACCUGCCCGGUGCUGGAAGGUUAAGAGGGGAUGUUAGUCGCAAGGCGAAGCAUUGAAUUGAAGCCCCAGUAAACGGCGGCCGUAACGAUAACGGUCCUAAGGUAGCGAAAUUCCUUGUCGGGUAAGUUCCGACCUGCACGAAUGGUGUAACGAUCUGGGCGCUGUCUCAGCCAUGAGCUCAGUGAAAUUGUGGUCCCGGUGAAGACGCCGGGUACCCGCAACGGGACGGAAAGACCCCAUGCACCUUCACUACAAUUUAACAUUGACAUUGGAUACAGGAUGUGUAGGAUAGGUGGGAGACUAUGAAGUGGCGUCGCCAGGCGUCGUGGAGUCAACGUUGAAAUACCACCCUUUCUGUAUUCGGUGUCUAACCCCUCAGGGGGGACAUUGUUUGAUGGGUAGUUUGACUGGGGUGGUCGCCUCCAAAAAGGUAACGGAGGCUUUCAAAGGUAAGCUCAAUACGCUUGGUAACCGUAUGAUGAGUGCAAUAGCAUAAGCUUGCUUGACUGUGAGGCAGACAAGCCGAGCAGGGUCGAAAGACGGAUAUAGUGAUCCGGUGGUUCUGCAUGGAAGGGCCAUCGCUCAAAGGAUAAAAGGUACGCUGGGAUAACAGGCUGAUCUCCCCCAAGAGCUCGAAAG
rnacentral:rRNA from 1 species